UUAUAAUGCUCCAAAAAUUCUCAAAAAAUUCAUGAUUAAAUUCUAGGAUAUUAUUUAAUUUUCUAUAUUUUUUAUUUUAUUUUUAUAAUUGUUUUGAUAUUUUAUUUUAAUUUUAUCUUGAAAUGUGUUUGGUUAGACCUGGUUUUUGAUUUAGGGUUUGAUUCUUUAUGUUUCCCUUUGACUUUUAACCCCAAUUUUUCUACACACUUGGGAACCUGUAUGUAGGACAUUUUGGUAUUAUUUUUAUGAUUUAAUAUUUAAUUUAGGGUCAUUUUUGAAUUUGUUCUUGAUGCUUAACUUGUAUGAUCAAUGAUACAUUGUAAUGCUUGAUGAUUAACAUAAUUUUGAACUUGUUCUUCAGCCAACCUUUUGGGAAUUUUUAG
rnacentral:lncRNA from 1 species